AUGCUCGGAAGGGCGUCGACCGGAGACUGCAAAGUGUUGUACAUCGGCAUGUCUCCCAGGCCGAACAGACAGCAGAUAUGUAAGGUCCUCACCCUCUCGGUCGACCAUCAGUGGAGAGAGACAGGGUGCCCGCCGGCCAGGGUCAUGACGGGCCACUCAGGGGGAGCAGCAGCAGCCGUCAAAGGGGUUGCCUACUUCUUGCCGUCCUUUCUGCGAGCUCCGGCGCCCGGCAACAAGGGAUACAUCAUGGCGUACGACCUGGAGAAGGAGGUCUCGCGGUCGGCCUCUGUGCCAGCCCCGGCACCCGGCAGCAAGCAGGUAGUGCACAAGUUGAGCCACGGCUUGGCCGAGCUGGGCGGCUGCUUGGCCCUAAUGUACGGGGACGAGCACGAGUUCAUGGAGCUGUGGUUGCUCGUGGACCCCGACCAGGCUACCUGGUCCAUGCAGUGCACCAUCACAGCGCCGUAUCGUUACCAGGGGGUCCAAGGGUCACAUCUUGGCCUGGAUAUGGCGGAGCCCCUCUGGUUGCUAGAAGAUGGCAGGAUCAUCAUCUGGAUGUGGAUGUCGGGAGAACGUCCUCACGCAGUGUUGUGUAUGUAUGAUCCAAGAACCAUGGCAUAUACAGAUGUGGCGGACAUGCCAAAUUACACGCUAGCAGGUGUGUUUACUGGGAGCUUGUUGGGAUGA
rnacentral:rRNA from 1 species